GCCGAGUUGAUUUCGGGUAAAACUAUGGAGAAAAACCCUGCUCUACGCUCUGCCCCCGGGAUGCCGUGCCCGGACCCAGCCCGAACGUUCCGUCCCUUUUUCUCCACCUCCAUUGUCCUCAGAAAAUCACGGAACCGAAAAUCAGCGCCUUUGGCAUCACGGGGCCCCCGAUGACGCCGUCAGGCGGGAGCCAAUGGCAAAAAUCCACUUGCUAUUAAUUUCCUCAACGCUUUCCAUUGGCGCGUGACCUCGCCAGACCUCUCUCUGAAGUCAGGGGUUAUUUUUUGAUCGAAUCCUCAGCCCAUGUGUCGGAGGCCGCGGAGGCCGGGGUUCCGAGCGCAAGGCAGCCGGCGGCACUCGGCACCUGUCAGCGCGGCUCCCCCUGACCUUUCCGAUUUUUUUCCGCCCGGCGGCGGGGGGGGAGGGGCCGGGCCGGGCCGGGCCGGGACGGGAGAAGAAGCCGAGCGAGGGAGAGGCGUCGAGGGACAGCGGGGAGGGAGCUCUCCCUCGGCCCCGACGCCGCCGCCCACCACCCGCAUCCCUCGGUUGAGAGCAGACGGUGCCCGCUGAGGGGCGGACGGAAAGCUCUCCCGGAGAGGCGGGGGGGGGGGGGGAGCGCCGGCUGGGUGGGGGGGAGGAGAGCCCGGGCUUGGUGGAGAUCCUCCCCGCUGCCGUGCUGCCCCGCUCGGAGCCCCGUCUGUGUCCCCUCGGCCGGCGGUCCCGUUCCCGGCUUCCCUGUCCCCCCGCUCGCACCGCUAUUUCCUCCCGGGUCUCUCGCAAAAAAACCGCCUUUCUUCUUGUAAUCUCCGAGUAACUACCGAAAUUCCCGAGAACAAACACGACCGAUGAAUAAAGAAAAUUUCAACCCACUGCUAAGAAUAUUA
rnacentral:lncRNA from 1 species